rnacentral:lncRNA from 1 species
GCUGAGAUUACAGGCAUGAGCCACCACAACCAGCUGGGUGUUUUUUUAGUACCUGUUGGUGGUACUUAAUGAAUAAACUGAUUGUGGGUAGUUGGCAUAGGUAUAUGGCACAUCUUAAUUCUUUUUACAUCACCUUACAUCACCUUGGGAGUUUUGUUUUUUUUUUGAUCCAGGAUUAGAUUUCAUUUGCACCCCACUUAGCUAAAUUUUUCCUAUGCACACACCAGGACUGGGAAAAUACAUCCACCUUACUUUACAGACAGCAUAUGGUCAACUUCCAAACAUCCUGUCUAACCUCAUUGCUCAUAUCUACUCACCAACUUUAAAAAAAAUAAAAUUGAAAUUAAAAAACAGAGUACACAGAGAAAUGAAAAGGAUGAGACAGAAAAAUGAAGAGACCUGGCUGAGGUGACUCUUGUGUUGAGUAUCUUCACUUUCCCUCUGGAUUUCGCUGUCACUGUAUGGAAAUUACCACAAAGGAACUUCCAUAAGCUCAAGGAAAAUUGUCUGAGAAAUUUGAUCGUGAUAAUGCCUUUGCUACAGUUAGUUCCUGCAAAAAAAAAAAGAAAAAGAAUGCGAUGGACAUUAACUUUUACAGGCCAGAAGGCAGUGAGCUCAUUUGUGCAGAACACUUACAGAAAAACACUGUCAACCAAGAAUGCUUCAUCCAGCAAAACCGUCAUUCAAAUAUGAGGGAGAAAUGAAUGGAUUCUCACCUGAAGGAGUUAAUCAUCGACAGACUUAUUCUACAAGAGAGGCUAAAGGACAUCCUUCAGGUUGAAAGGAAAGUUACCAGGCAAAACUCAAAGCCAUGUGAAGAAAUAAAGAUCUCUGGUAAAGGUAAAUUUAUGUGAAAUUUUAAAAGUGUGUAUUACUGGGCCUGGGAUUUAGCUCCGUGGUGCUGUGCCUGCCUUGCAAGCUCGAGGUCCUAAAUUCAAUCCCUGGAACUAGAGGAAAAAAGUAUGUAUUACUGUAAUUUUGGCUUAUAACUCCACUUUUUCUCUUUUACAAGAUUUAAGAGACUACUGGCUUUUAACAAAAUAAUUUUUUUUUUUU